AACCGAACAUGAACAAUGGGUCUGUCCUGUUGCGGGAAUUUGCCGUAACUGCUCACCAUCAUUUUCAUGAGCCCUUGCUUGAUGGGUCUGCCAGGAAAAUUCCUGCUUUAAAACACGAGGACACCUCACCUCACCCAAUCAAAAUAACCCGUGUUGCAGAAUUCACAUAUAAUAAACACUGGCCUUUAUGAAAUGACUGCAAUUGAACCUACACAGGAUAGUGAAAUUCUACAUAAGCGUACCUACUUUUUUGUGGAGAUACAGGGUAAGUGUGACUGCUGAGAUAUCCAGACAAGAACCAUAAACAUUGAAUUGUGUGCCCGGUUUAUUUCCAAAAGUUCAAUGCUGUAUGUAUGUUAUAUUU